GAUCAUGGCUCAGGAUAAACGCUGGCGGCGCACAUAAGACAUGCAAGUCGAACGGAAGUCGUUAUAAAAAGGAUUGAAGAUUUAUCUGAUUGAGAUUUUAUAACAAUGGCUUUAGUGGCGGACUGGUGAGUAACGCGUAAGCAAUCUGCCUGUUAGAGGGGAAUAACAAUGAGAAAUCAUUGCUAAUACCGCAUAUGCCAUAGUUAUCACAUGAUAAUAGUGGGAAAGGAG
rnacentral:rRNA from 1 species